GAUGAACGCUGGCGGCGUGCCUAAUACAUGCAAGUCGAGCGAACAGACGAGGAGCUUGCUCCUCUGACGUUAGCGGCGGACGGGUGAGUAACACGUGGAUAACCUAACUAUAAGACUGGGAUAACUUCGGUAAACCGGAGCUAAUACCGGAUAAUAUAUUGAACCGCAUGGUUCAAUAGUGAAAGACGGUUUUGCUGUCGCUUAUAGAUGGAUCCGCGCCGCAUUAGCUAGUUGGUAAGGUAACGGCUUACCAAGGCAACGAUGCGUAGCCGACCUGAGAGGGUGAUCGGCCACCCUGGCACUGAGACACAGUCCAGACUCCUACGGUAGGACGCAGUAGGGAAUCUUACGGAAGGGGGGAGAGCCUGACGGAGGACAGCCGCGUAAGUGCUGAAGGUCCUAGGCCCGGAGAACUAUGUAAGUAGGGAAGAAGAAAUGUGUAAGUACCCAGGAUCGUAUUGACGGUACCUAAACAGAAAGCCACGGCUAACUACGUG
rnacentral:rRNA from 1 species